rnacentral:rRNA from 1 species
GAUGAACGCUGGCGGCGUGCCUAAUACAUGCAAGUCGAGCGAACAGACGAGGAGCUUGCUCCUCUGACGUUAGCGGCGGACGGGUGAGUAACACGUGGAUAACCUACUUAUAAGACUGGGAUAACUUCGGGAAACCGGAGCUAAUACCGGAUAAUAUAUUGAACCGCAGGGUUCAAUAGUGAAAGACGGUUUUGCUGUCACUUAUAGAUGGAUCCGCGCUGGAUUAGCUAGUUGGUAAGGUAACGGCUCACCAAGGCGACGAUCCGUAGCCGAGCUGAGAGGAGGAUAGGCCACACUGGAACUGAGACACGGUCCAGACUCCGACGGGAGGCAGCAGUGGGGAAUAUUGGACAAUGGGCGCAAGCCUGAUCCAGCAAUACCGCGUGGGUGAAGAAGGCCUUCGGGUUGUAAAGCCCUUUUGUUGGGAAAGAAAAGCAGCAGGUUAAUACCCCGCUGUUCUGACGGUACCCAAAGAAUAAGCACCGGCUAACUUCGUG